rnacentral:rRNA from 1 species
AGAGUUGAUUAUGGCUCAGGAUGAACGCUGGCGGCGUGCCUAACACAUGCAAGUCGAGCGAGAUACACCUGAUUGAUGCUCGGUUGAUAGACGGUGUGGAAAGCGGCGGACGGGUGAGUAACGCGUAGGCAACCUGCCCCUUACACAGGGAUAGCCAUUGGAAACGAUGAUUAAAACCUGAUGACACCUUGAGAUGACAUCUUCCCAAGGUCAAAGAUUUAUCGGUAAGGGAUGGGCCUGCGUCUGAUUAGAUAGUUGGUGAGGUAACGGCCCACCAAGUCAACGAUCAGUAGCCGACCUGAGAGGGUGAUCGGCCACAUUGGAACUGAGACACGGUCCAAACUCCUACGGGAGGCAGCAGGUGGGGAAUAUUGCACAAGUGGGGGAAACCCUGAAUGCAGCAACGCCGCGUGAAGGAUGAAGGUCUUCGGAUUGUAAACUUCUGUCCUUGGGGAAGAUAAUGACGGUACCCAUGGAGGAAGCCCCGGCUAACUACGUGCCAGCCGCCGC